CUGGUGGACUCUCAAUUUACAUUCGCAGUGAAACGGUAACCACACUCGAGCUCUUUUUUCUUGCGUUUGGCCGUCUCUGCGAAAGAUUCCAGCAGAUCGAUAGCUUCGUCGUCCAUCGAUGGCGGAAGCUCAAGCUGUCAAUACCCCAAGCCUCUCCGAGUUACCUAUUUCAUUCUCUUCUUUCUUUCUUUCUAUACGUAAGGAGUGGGACAAUUUUCGCAGUCCAAUCAUAAACUGAAAAAGGGGGAGGGAAUUGCGGUAGUGUGGCCUUGAUCUGUGUUGCUCAUUUCCUUUUGUGAUGUUCUGGAAUUGUUAUGUCUCAUGAUUAUGAUUUUUGAUUGUACUGGAUUCUUGAUAGUAAUUUUAGGACAACGAUAAUGAAAUGCGGCGCGUAUAGCGAAUGGAUUAUGGUGAUUUGUAGAAUUCUUGAUACCUGGUGCGAAAGUAAUAUAAAUGAAUUGGAGUAGUUCUUGGUUUCCAUUUUUGCUGGGAAGAGUUGAGGUCAUGGAUUUAUCUUAAGAUCAAUAGAGAGAGAAGGAAACUUAUACCCUUAAUUUCAAUAGCUAUGUGUUGGAAAAUCUGGUUCCAGAGUUUCUGAUGGCAUUGGUUCCUUUUUGAGGCAUGUAGUUGACAAUUGGUCCAGUACUCUUAAGAUUUUUCGGUUCAUUUCGAUCUGACUUUAAUGCUUGUAUUGUUUUAGAUGUGAUGGUCCUGAUGGAUUUAACCUCAUAUUUGUAGCUCUUUGCUGCACUUCUGCCAUGCAAUAAAUUAUUUUCUUACUGAAAAAGUAUUGUUGAAGGCAGCGUCUAUUAGUUGAUUGUGAAUUGAAAUGCUUUUAAUAGUUUUAUAUUGGAUGUUGAUGGGGGACUUCAUUACACUGGUUCUUUUUGGGUUUAAGGUCCUACUGCUUGUGAAAAUGGAUAUUUGUAGAAGUCUGGAAAAUUUUCAUUUGAAUUAUCAGAAAUUCUCAAAAAUAUGUAUGUGCGUUAAGGGCGAUGGAUGCAAAGUAUGAAAUGCUUCAUAAUUAGUAUUAUUACUCUAUAGGUAUCAGUAAAAGUUUGUUUUUGGACAUGAUAGACCCUUUGGAAGUUUUGGAUUGAAGAUGCUCUCUAUUGUGAGGCAGAGGCACACAUUGGUGUUCUUCAUUUGCACUUGAACUUAUUUACCAUUUUGUGAGGGGAAUAGUUCUUCUUUAGUUAUGAGUUGGCUUUGGCAUCAGUCUUUUUCUGAUUUCAAAGGAUGCUUUACUAAUGCAUGUCAUAUAUAAAAGAUUUUUGUUGUGGUUAACAUUUCAUAAAAGUAUUCUCUUUAUUGAGGUGCGAGAUUUUUUAGUAAAAUCAUAAUCUGAGACUGAGAUUGAGCAACCGUGGGUUUGGUUUCAGGAGGAUGAUUCAGUACAUUUUGGAAUGAUGUACUCUUGUCAUCCCCGAUAACUAAAUUAAGUUGCUGGAGCGAAAUACUUAUGAAAUCAUUGCAUAUGGGGCACAAGUGCACAACGAUUAUGAAGUCAUUUAGGUUGUAGCAAUGUUGGAAGUUUAAACAUUGAAGUAUAAGAAGGAUGUGAGCUGGAUCAGAUUGAGGUAGAGAGAUGGAAUGAGCAGAGGGAGAAUGGCACCUUUCCGGGUCCUCUGUAGGUGGCAUCUGUCUUGGUUAAUGGUUUGGUUCCAGCUGUUAUAGCUGCUGAAUCAAUUACUUGAAUUUCUUCAUUGGAAAGUGAUUUCUUAGGGAAUGGCAUAUUUAAUUAAGUAUGGGAGUUAAUAAUAAAUUCUGACUUGUUUAUCAGAGUUUCAGAACCAGCCCAAUUCGGAAAUACAAAGAAUGUAUGCUCAUAAGAUGAAGGCGUUAGCCCUGUUUUUCAUGUCAAAAUUUUCUACAUUACCUGCUCUCUUAUGUUACAGCUGGCUGGAUGGGAUUGUAAGUAAACUUGCCACAUAAUAAAGAUAAUUGUUUUAGCAUA